rnacentral:ncRNA from 1 species
AUCUGUGGAGAAGCAGAUAUAAAUAAAUAAGACGAGAAGACCCUAUGGAGCUUCAUUUUAUUAAUGCAAAUAAAAACUCAAAAGGCAUACAGGCCCUAGCCUGCUAUCCCUGUAUUACAAAUUUUGGUUGGGGUGACCUCGGAGCAUGACUCAACCUCUGAACAACCUAAACUAAGACUGCACUAGUCUAAGCGAAUUAAUAUAUAUUGAUCCAAUAAUAUGAUCAACGGAAUAAGUUACCCUAGGGAUAACAGUGCAAUCCUAUUCUAGAGUCCAUAACAACAAUAGAGUUUAUGACCUCGAUGUUUGAUCAGGACAUCCUGAUCGUGCAGCCGCUGCUUUUAAGGGUUCAUUUGUUCAACGAUUAGAGUCUUAGGUGAUCUGAAUUCAGAUCAGAGCAAUCCAGGUCGGUUUCUAUCUAUUUA